AGUGUUUCCCUAUCCUGUUUAAAUCUUACCAACACUGUACUGUGAAGUAGAUAUAGCAGUAGUAGUUUCUCUUCAGAGAGAAAUAAAAAGUCACCAGUGAAG